rnacentral:rRNA from 1 species
GACGAACGCUGGCGGCGUGCUUAACACAUGCAAGUCGAACGGAAAGGCCCUGCUUUUGUGGGGUGCUCGAGUGGCGAACGGGUGAGUAACACGUGAGUAACCUGCCCUUGACUUUGGGAUAACUUCAGGAAACUGGGGCUAAUACCGGAUAGGAGCUCCUGCUGCAUGGUGGGGGUUGGUAAGUUUCGGCGGUUGGGGAUGGACUCGCGGCUUAUCAGCUUGUUGGUGAGGUAGUGGCUUACCAAGGCUUUGACGGGUAGCCGGCCUGAGAGGGUGACCGGCGACAUUGGGACUGAGAGACGGCCCAGACUCCUACGGGAGGCAGCAGUGGGGAAUAUGGCACAAUGGGCGGAAGCCUGAUGCAGCAACGCCGCGUGCGGGAUGACGGCCUUCGGGUUGUAAACCGCUUUCGCCGGUGACGAAGCGUGAGUGACGGUAAUGGGUAAAGAAGCACCGGCUAACUACGUG